UACGUAGGGGGCAAGCGUUGUCCGGAAUCAUUGGGCGUAAAGCGCACGCAGGCGGAUGCGCGCGUGGGGUGUGAAAUCUGGCCGCUUAACGGCCAGGCGCCAUCCCAUACGGCGCGUCUGGAGUGAUGCAGAGGUCGGUGGAAUUGCCGGUGUAGUGGUGAAAUGCGUAGAGAUCGGCAGGAACACCCAGGGGGAAACCAGCCGACUGGGCAUCUACUGACGCUGAGGUGCGAGAGCGUGGGGAGCGAACCGG
rnacentral:rRNA from 1 species